CCUACGGGAGGCAGCAGUGGGGGAUAUUGCACAAUGGGGGGAACCCUGAUGCAGCGACGCCGCGUGAGCGAUGGAGUACUUCGGUAUGUAAAGCUCUGUCAGCAGGGAAGAAAAUGACGGUACCUGACCAAGAAGCCCCGGCUAAAUACGUGCCAGCAGCCGCGGUAAUACGUAUGGGGCAAGCGUUAUCCGGAUUUACUGGGGGUAACGGGAGCGCAGGCGGCGUGGCAAGUCAGAUGUGAAAACCCGGGGCCCAACCCCGGGAGUGCAUUUGAAACUGCCAUGCUGGAGUGCCGGAGAGGUAAGCGGAAUUCCUAGUGUAGCGGUGAAAUGCGUAGAUAUUAGGAGGAACACCAGUGGCGGAGGCGGCUUACUGGACGGUAACUGACGCUGAGGCUCGAAAGCGUGGGGAGCAAACAGGAUUAGAUACCCGGGUAGUC
rnacentral:rRNA from 1 species